UACGUAGGUGGCGAGCGUUGUCCGGAAUUACUGGGUGUAAAGGGCGUGUAGGCGGGGAUAUAAGUCAGAUGUGAAAGCCCAAGGCUCAACUUUGGGACUGCAUCUGAAACUAUAUUUCUUGAGUGCUGGAGAGGAAAGCGGAAUUCCAAGUGUAGCGGUGAAAUGCGUAGAUAUUUGGAGGAACACCAGUGGCGAAGGAGGCUUUCUGGACAGUAACUGACGCUGAGGCGCGAAAGCGUGGGGAGCAAACAGG
rnacentral:rRNA from 1 species